AGUGGUUAAGUGCUCAGCUGCUAACUGAAAGGUCGGUGGUUUGAACCCACCAGCCACUU
rnacentral:tRNA from 1 species